rnacentral:tRNA from 1 species
GUUUCGUGGCCGAGUGGAUAACGCGAUGGCGCUUGAAGCUAAAGGUACUGGGUUCGAGUCCUAGAGUGGAAA